AGCUUUGCGCAGUGGCAGUAUCGUAGCCAAUGAGAUUUAUCCGAGGCGCGAUUAUUGCUAAUUGAAAAUGAGAAAAGUAAAAGUACAUCAGAAAAAGGAAACAGUAGGUAUGAAAGUCAUGGGCCUUGUUUAAGCAU